rnacentral:ncRNA from 1 species
AGGGAUAGAGGUGCGGUUUGUAAGAGUACCGGCGGAUCGGCAGCCAUAUGCCGAGGAUCUGCCGGAGAAAGGACACAUCGCCGAAGAUUCUUCUGGUAUGGCCCAUCGGAAUCUGGUCGCUGCAGCGAAAGCCCUGCGACUGUCAUCUGCAACAUGAUGGAGUGCUAUCGG